rnacentral:rRNA from 1 species
UACAGAGGGUGCAAGCGUUAAUCGGAAUUACUGGGCGUAAAGCGUGCGCAGACGGUUGCGUAAGUCAGAUGUGAAAGCCCCGGGCUCAACCUGGGAACUGCAUCCGAGACUGCAUUGCUAGAGUAUGGGAGAGGAAGCGGAAUUCUGGUGUAGCAGUGAAAUGCGUAGAUAUCAGAAGGAACAUCAGUGGCGAAGGCGGCUUCCUGGACCAAUACUGACGAUCAGGUGCGAAAGCGUGGGAGCAAACAGG